AACUAUUUAGAAGAUUGCUUUUUCAAUUGGAGCUCUCAAUGCUUUUAUAAAUGAAGUUUUUGUUUCUGCUUCUGCUGGCAAUGUUGGAGCUGCUGGAAGUGUUGUGAAUGCAGCUCCUUGGUUUUUGAUAGUUGCAGCAAGUACAAUUAAUCGAGAAAGCUUUUGCUAAUUUGUGUCUUGGAAAUAGAAGAGAACUGCAGUAGCAGCUUUUGGGGAUUUUAAUCAGGUAGCAAUGUGAGUAAAGUAUGUCACUAGCUAUUGUAAAGAUACACUCGAUCUCAUCUGAUCAGUAAAAAGAUUGUGGUGUGCAUAAUUUGGAAUCAUGGGAUGAAAAAGUAUGUGAGAAAUCAGAAGUAGUAACAGAACAAGGAGGUGCUGGGAUGGUCCUCAUAUCUCCAGGUAUAGGAACUGAUAUGAUAUACAAUUUUGCAGUUCCUACCAUGAUAAUAAUUAAGAAAGGUGAAGCCGACAGAUAAAUGUGUAGCACAAAGUGAGUAUUAUAUGCCUAAAUUC